rnacentral:rRNA from 1 species
UACGGGGGGAGCAAGCGUUGUUCGGAUUUACUGGGCGUAAAGGGCGCGUAGGCGGCCACCGCAAGUCGACUGUGAAAUCUCCGGGCUUAACCCGGAAAGGUCAGCCGAUACUGCGGGGCUAGAGUGCAGAAGGGGCAACUGGAAUUCUCGGUGUAGCGGUGAAAUGCGUAGAUAUCGAGAGGAACACCUGCGGCGAAGGCGGGUUGCUGGGCUGACACUGACGCUGAUGUGCGAAAGCUAGGGGAGCGAAGCGGG